CCCAGUCAGGCCAAUUUCCCUGUCUUCUGCAAUAAACAGUCUACAUUUAGGAGACUAAAUUUUUAAAACGUUUUUAAUCACUUCUCAGGUUAAAAAAAUCAUACAGUCCUAUAACAUCAAGGAUGGGGGCAAAUGAGAGAUCAACAGGAUAUGCCAAAAUAUUAUAAUCACAAUAAUUCCUUUAUAAUUCAAACUCCAGGGGAUGAUAUGAAUUAACUUAUUGAACAAAUAUUGGCACCAGUAUGAAAUCGAGAAAAAAUAGAGGGGGCAGGGCUCAGGGGAAGGGUUUUGAAAAUAUUACGAGAUGGUUUUAAAAUUGUCCUUUUACCCUCCAUUUUGACUGGAGUUAGAAAGGCUAUGAUACAGACAUGGACGAUUUGAUGCAAUGUUCUUACUAUAAGAUAACACGUUUAAGCCUUACUGGUUAGACAUAAGUGUUCGUUUCCUUUGAAAACCAUAGUCUCAUGGGAUGACAGAUGACACUGCUGUAGUAAUGUGGUUCUCCCAUGACAGUUCACUGCUGAUACUUCUUUAGAUUUAAAUAAACUUAUUUUUCUUUUAAAUCACCCAAGAAAAUGUCAGGUCUCCACACUUCUCCUUUUUUUUUAGUGAGAAUGAUGCAAGUAUGUGACACUAAACACAGAUAAAGUUAACAUGCCUCCCCACUGUGCUCUACUACCAGUUGAAGGCUUUAUGCUUCCUAUUUCACAAAGCAGACAUGUGGUUUUCUUUUUUGAGCUCAUUGCGUGAACUAAGCUUAAGCUCUUCUUCUACAAAGAUAAUGGAGAUGAUAUUUCCUGUGCUGUCAAUUCCUGCUCCUGGCAGUGGCUAAGAAGGUAGGCAUGUGUCUUCCCACCAUUCCUUCACCUGGGGACCAAGCAAGAUAGUAUAGGAUUCUUCUGAAAAGCAUAAUAUAGUCCAUCUAUAUUAUGUAAUAUAUAAAUCCAUGCAAUAGAGUUUAGCUAUCACAAAGGCUCAAAAAUCAGUGGCAGCAGAACGUUCUAUAAGUAUCACGGGCCUCCUUGCACAGUUCUGGGCUCCACUCUUUACUCUGAAGCUCACUAGUGUCACCGUGGACAAGUGCCCUGACUUUUCUAGGCCUCAGUUGUCACUUCCACAAAAGAGGAUAAUAAAGUACUACCACACAAGGUCACAGUGAGGAUGAAGGGCAGUUCUUAACAUGGCAGCCAACACACAGUAAGUGCUCCCUUUAAGCUAUUCAUUCCAAUUCUUAUCCAGAAAGAUAACCAGUAAGGACUAGAAAUGUGGUCAUAUAAAUUAUGUACAGAGCUGUUUUCCCCUCAUACUUAACCCCUGCCCUUGAACUCAGCAAUGAGCGAGCCCUCAGGGGCUGUCUCUGCGGGGCUGCACAUGAACUGCUUGCGUGUAUAACUUGUAUAACCUCCCAAUGUGCCUCUCACAAUGCAUGAGGCAGGAGCUCUGGAACUAUCAGCUCCCAACUCCUCAAGCCCAAAGUGAAGAAAAUUCAAAACAGUACAUAUGACUGUCAAUGGUCUUCAUUCAUUUAUAUCCAUAUUAAAAUUAGUUUGCAUUUCUUUUACAUGUAUCUUUUGAUGGAUGUCAGAAGAAAAUUAUUCAGAGAUUUAAAAGUGACACAGAUAAGCCACUAAAUAGAUAACAGAUAACAUAGAUGAGAAAUGAAACAACUAUAUGUAUAUUCUGAGGAGUUAGUUAAUAAUAAAUCAUGAACCUCAUUCAAGUCACAAAAGUGAUCAGGGGAGACUUUUACUAUAGAAUAACCAACCCAGAGCAGGGGAACACUUGAAAUUAACUAUUAAGUAAGCAAAAGGGAAUAUCUGUUCUCUGAAAAGGAGGGUUCAAGUUGAAACAGAAGAUAAUUCAGAGAUGUGAGAUGACUCAGUCAAUGGCAGGGGCUCUUUUGGGCACUUUGCAACUAUGGUAUUGUGUCCCCAGGCACAUGGAGGCAGCCUACAGGAAGAGUAGAACUCUCGAAGAGUUUUGAUUUUUUUUUUAAAGCCAACUUUGAGCAUUUAUAUUGAAGCACCAUUCAGUGUUAGCAUACAUUAGCUAAGAGAUUUCAUUAAACAUUAAAUCAGUCUGUGAUUUAAAUUAAAUCAGACUGUGAGCAGUCUGUGGUCUAUGUGCCCUAUACGGCAAUUAGAUUUUAAUCUCUAGAAAUAAGACUUACAAAAGGCGAGAACACUAUCUAGUAUUUGGGUGAUAACCUAACACAGCCACAAAAAUGCCAUGACCUCUCAAUCAUUCCCCACCUCUGGAACCCAGCUGAGAAGUCUAACAAGCUAUGGAAACCUUAAAGGAAGUACUGCUCACACAGCACCCCGGAAUCUGCUUCCCAUGACAUGGGGUACUAAGGCUUGAAGGAAGCAUGCUUAUUUAAUGGUAAGUAUAAAUUAUUUCUUUUUCUGAACAUGCAGUUUAAUAUGAGGCAAAGUGCAAGGCCUCUCUCUGCCCAAGGGAGUUCUCCAGCUGGGACUGAAUGCAUAUCCAGGGAUGACGCUGUUUGUGGAUUGAUUACUGCUGCCGUGGUGGUUUCCUUGACUGUGUAGAUUGCUGCAGCUACACGUGCAGGCAGGAAACCAAAUGGAGACCACCACCCUCCAGUGUAAACUCUAACAUCACACCAAUUUUUCUUUUUUGACUCUCUGAAUGCAUGAAUAGAAAAAUAAUAAAGCAACAGAAUCCACUUCAAAUUGAAAGACCUGGCACCUCUACCACACAUUAGGAGGUAUGGAAGCAUGGGCAAGUUAUUUAACAAUAAUUAUGAUCAUUUCUGUUGUGGGUGCUGUUAAGCACUUUGCAUACUUUAAUCCUUAAGCUUAGAUUUCUUCAUGUAUAAAUUGAGGAUAAUAAUGCAACUACUUCAUUUGCAAGUUGAGGCAGCAGGGUCAAAAAGAACACAGUUUCAACACAGACAGACGUGGGUUAAAUGCCAGCUCCAAUUUCUACUAUUUGAUCUCACUGAGCUCCCAUUUUCUCAUCUCUAAAGUAGAGAUGAAGCCACUUACCUCAAAGGACUGUGGUGGGGAAUUGAGCAAGACAGUGUUAAAUACCAGUUGGUGUCUGUAUCGCUAGACAGUGCACAAUAAAUGUUUAUACCUUCUCUCCUAUUAUACACAUGAACUGCUUCUGUUAAUAUUCAUCAGCAGCAAUUCAAUGUCCAUAGCAGCAAUUCAAUGUCCAUAGAGUCCAAAGAUGCAUUUCCUUUCAUAACAAUGAAAAUUUUUCCCAGAACAAGCUUAAUAUGCCAGAUACUGGCCCAACAGCUCUAUGUCUAUGAACUCAUUUAAUUCUCACUACUGUUCAGUGGGGUAGGUACUACUACUGUCAUCCCCAUUGUACAGAUGAAGACACUGAGGCACAGACUUUGGGUUACUUGCCUAGAUUCAAACAGAUGGUACCAGAGCUGGCAGCCUGGCUCCAUAGCCUGUCCUCCUAACCAGGCUGCAAUAGGGCUUAAUGGGUCAAUCUGUUUGAGAUUCCAUGCUUGGAUGUAAUCUCUUCUAGAGAUAAGCACUGGAUGCUCUCACAAACCGCAAUGUGUUGAUGUGACUAACUUUUCAACUUCUGAAAUAACAUUUUGUGUAUUUUCUUAGUAUUCCUAAAAAAAAACCCUUUACACUUUAAAUAAGGUGCCUAUAACUAGUUCAUCUUGUUCUGCAUGCUGAAAUACCAUAAAUAAAUGCACUUCUCUCUUCAAAGAUUAUGUAAAUAAAUCUUACAUUAAAACAUACCCCUGAGCUUUGGUUUAAACAAUAAUUUCAAGUCCAAAUUAAACAUUUAUGUAUGUGUAUAUAUAUUUAGCAGGAAAGUCUUAAUAUGACCUAUUUUGUUAAACUAAUGACAUCUAUACCCAAUACUCCAAAUAUUCCUCUUAUUUAUAAUAUUCGCUGUGUAACAGUCACACAGCAGUACUGCAUGGUACUUCAAAGUACUAUUCCUUUUACAAGUUUAACCAACUCAGGUAUUAAACAUCAAUGAUGAUAAUCCAUAGCUCUGCUUAAAAGGAAUCUCUCGGGAACAGCUGAGAAAGAAAGGUUAAAGAUUUCUAUCCUUCAAAGUAGGGCACUGCAGCUACCUAUAAAUCAUGCUCUUUGUUUAUUAAGAUAAUUAGGCCCAUCAGUACACUUAACUUUUAGACUCAACAAUUGUCUGGCAUGAACAAUUUCCACUUUUUCUAAAACAAAGGGGAUGUGUUCAAAAAGCGGUCCUCUGCAUGCUCUCUGCACAAUGCAUGCUAUUUUAAAACAUGAUUUAUGGGUCUAAUUCCUGGAGCUGCCUUGAAAAAUAUAGUGGGUUGUUCCUCCCAUGCUCCCUAUUAGGAGAAGACACUCCAAUUUGAAGAGUGCACUCUGUUUCAGACUUCAGGCCGCUAUAUCAUGUCAGCAUUUUCAGUAAAUACUGUUCAAUUGGACUUUAAACAAAUGGAAUGGAGGGCCACAGCUGCAGCCACUGCAGAGAUAAAGUUAUCCAGCCGGGAGGCUUACAUAAGAGGUGCAGGACAAUCAGGGUGAAAUCCAAGUGUCAUUAUCUGAAUCCUAUUUCUUGAGACUUGCCUACAUUCUUAAAGUGUAUGAAUUCACACGCCCAGAGCUCGUUUUAUUUGCCUUAGGGCAUAAAACACCGGGUCGACAUAUAAGUUGUUUUUUCCCUAAAGGACUAGGCUCCAAUUAUGAAAAGGUUGGCAACUUCUGCCUAGGGGAAGAGUAAAGCGGGAUGCGCGGGAAGCCUGCAGGCCUGAAAGAAAUGGCUCGCCCAAAGAUCCAUCGCAGUGCUGGCCACACUCCCCAGAGGAAUUAGGAUGGAGGUGACAAGACCCUGCCCAGCCCCUUCACCCCAACGUAAACACAGAGUCAAGGAGCUUGGAAUGAAUAAUUAGCACGCAGCAGUCGAAAUGCCCUAGGAGUACCUGUCCUCUCCCAGCAUAUUUCCAACUGGCACAUUCGUGAGAUGCUGAGGUCAGCCAGCCCUGGACUCCAGACCUUCCAGCUGCCUUGUCCCCUUCUUGGCACCCCGCACUCCCUCCUCGAGCUGGAACUCUGUUAACAAGAGGUGCCACCCUCGGCUUCCCACAAGAAGAUAAAAACGAACCUCUCCUUCCCACGGCUCCCUCCAACUUCAGAAACUACAGUCAACUUACUGGGACUCAGGAGGCAGGGAGUCUUC
rnacentral:lncRNA from 10 species